rnacentral:rRNA from 1 species
UACAGAGGUCCCAAGCGUUGUUCGGAUUCACUGGGCGUAAAGGGUGCGUAGGUGGUUGGGCAAGUCUGAUGUGAAAUCUCCGGGCUUAACCCGGAAAUGGCAUUGGAAACUGCUUGGCUAGAGUGUUGGAGGGGGGACUGGAAUUCUCGGUGUAGCAGUGAAAUGCGUAGAUAUCGAGAGGAACACCAGUGGCGAAGGCGAGUCCCUGGACAACUACUGACACUGAGGCACGAAAGCUAGGGGAGCAAACAGG